GUUUCUAAAGCUUUAUAGAAGCGAUGGUCUUGUAAACCAUAGAAGAAAAAUUUUUUCUAGAAACU
rnacentral:tRNA from 1 species